UUCCCUUUCCCUGCCUCUCUCUGCGAACGCACACAUCCUAUGGCAAAUACCUAAGAAGAAAAAAAGGAAUCUAGCUGUCGUCAGUCUAGUGAGGACAGGCAAAUGAAUAAUUGCUAUAUUGAGCUGAAGAUUCUUGACAAUAGUAGGCGGUACCUUGGGACCUGAGGAAAGAGAACACCAUCUGUGGGGUGAUGAGGGCAUGUGUAAGAAAGAGGCAGCCAUCCUAUGAAAGCAGAUUCUAUGACCUUGGCAAGGGAAGGAUGGAAGUUUUCACCUUGACAGAGGCUGAAUUACCUUCAAUUUUCCACUUUCCCAGCUAUUCCAGAGAGCAAACUUGAACUAUAAACCUGAAAUUUCUUUGGUAAGGAUCUUGCUCUCUCAAAAAUACAGCCUAACCCCCAUAGAAAAGGAUCACCUUUUAAAUAAAAGAAGCACAGUGCAUUAUUUGGCAAGUGACUGGGUGCAGGUGUGUGUGUGUGUGUGUGUGUGUGUGUGUGUUACCACACAUGUAUGUGAAGAAUUUUAAAUUCUCCGAGGAACUGGGUAAAAAUCUCUUUAAAGUUUCCUUCAGCUGGGACUCUUUUUCUUCAUUUUGAGCUAGGGAAAAACCAGGCCUCUGAUCUUCCAUUUGAGCUGAAGUGAACAUUCUUCUAUUCACCUUUGAGCCUGGGCCCACCCUUCAUUUGGGAUCCUGCCCCCUGUUUGCAGGCUGUGCUCCAUACUGCCCCCUGGUUGUAGGCUAUGCUCCUGCAUGUCAUAAUGUCCGUGGCACAGAUACCAGGUUUGCUACCUGAGUAUUCCAAACUGCUUUUCCUGACAGCAGAAUCUGGUUUUAAUUUAGAUGAUGUUCGUUUUCAAAGGCUUGGGGGAGAGAGGAAAAGGAGUGGAAGAGAUCAUUCUAGGGAGUGUCUGUUGAGCCAUUAAAUGCACCAGACAAGAACUCAUCUCAUUCUGCCUAGAGAACAAGCCCCUUUCUUUUCAUGGUUCUGGCAUAUUGAGCCCAGUCAAAAGCUAAUUAAAGUCCUUUCCGUUUCUUAGGACUGCAUGUCGUCCCCAUAGCACUUCCUGUUCUGCUUUUCCGCUUGGCUCCCAGUUGGGUGGGGAUACAAAGCUGCCAGAGAUGAUCUCCCACGUUUGGAUGCGCCAGCCUGUUUCUCUCACUGAGCACUGACAACCCGUGCCUGGAUUGUUCCGGUCUCUGCAUGAGCUCAGGAUGUGUCACAGUGGGCCCUUCGCUGAGCAAUGAGAAUGAGUGAGAUGCUGGACUAUGUGAUGGACAGGAAGGGCAGCUAUAUGUGCCCCAAAGGAAGCAGAUCCAAAUCACCACCCCCAACAUGUAGAAGGCUGGAGACCCAGGAAGUCUGCUGCUGGUUGGAAAGCCUGAGAGGGGAAGAGUGAACGGUGUAGAACCCAGUGCCCUCCGGGGAUUGAAGAUGCCCACCUGCACCGGGGAGGGCCAUCUGCUUUACUCAUCACUGUUCAAGUGCCCAUCUCUUCCAUAGACUGUAGACACACCAGAGAGAAUGUUUAACCAGAUAUCUGGCCCAGUCAGGUUGACACAUAAACUAGCCUUCACAGUUUUUGCUUUUUAAAAACCUUUCUUAUAUAUUUAUAGAUGAAUGAUUUCCUGUAUCUUUAUGGAUGAAUGAGUGAGCCCCCCCAGUGGGGCAUCGUCAUGCUGCAAUCCUUCUUCCUUCAUUUCUCCACCUC